rnacentral:rRNA from 1 species
AAGGCUUGACAUGUAAGCAGUAGUGAACCGAAAGGGGAUCGAACCGUUAAACCGGUAACUUACACAGGUGCUGCAUGGCUGUCGUCAGCUCGUGUCGUGAGAUGUUGGGUUAAGUCCCGCAACGAGCGCAACCAUUGCCCUAUGUUGCCACCCUCUAUAUUGUUUUCUUUGAAAACAUGGAGGCGCACUCUUAGGGGACUGCCUGGGAUAACCAGGAGGAAGGCGGAGAUGACGUCAAGUCAGUACGGCCUUUAUGCCUUGGGCUACACACGUGUUACAAUGGCUGGUACAAAGGGUUGCCAACCCGUAAGGGGGAGCUAAUCUCAAAAAAUCAGCCUCAGUUCGGAUUGAAGUCUGCAAUUCGACUUCAUGAAGCCGGAAUCGCUAGUAAUGGGAGAUCAGCUCGCUCCCGUGAAUACGUUCCCGGGUCU